rnacentral:rRNA from 1 species
AUUGAACGCUGGCGGCAUGCCUUACACAUGCAAGUCGAACGGUAACGCGGGGCAACCUGGCGACGAGUGGCGAACGGGUGAGUAAUGCAUCGGAACGUGCCCAGUAGUGGGGGAUAGCCCGGCGAAAGCCGGAUUAAUACCGCAUACGACCUAUGGGUGAAAGCGGGGGACCGUAAGGCCUCGCGCUAUUGGAGCGGUCGAUGUCAGAUUAGGUUGUUGGUGGGGUAAAAGCCUACCAAGCCGACGAUCUGUAGCUGGUCUGAGAGGACGACCAGCCACACUGGGACUGAGACACGGCCCAGACUCCUACGGUAGGCAGCAGUGGGGAAUUUUGGACAAUGGGGGCAACCCUGAUCCAGCCAUGCCGCGUGCGGGAAGAAGGCCUUCGGGUUGUAAACCGCUUUUGUCAGGGAAGAAACGCUCUGAGUUAAUACCUCGGGGUAAUGACGGUACCUGAAGAAUAAGCACCGGCUAACUACGUGCCAGCCGCCGCCGUAAAAC